rnacentral:rRNA from 1 species
GAUGAACGCUCGCGAUAGGCUUAACACAUGCAAGUCGAGGGGUAACGUGUUGGAAGCUUGCUUCCGAUGACGACGACCGGCGGAUGGGUGCGUAACGCGUAUGCAACUUGCCUCACAGUGGAGAAUAACCCGGAGAAAUCCGGACUAAUACUCCAUACACUCUUAAGUACGCCUGUACAUGAGAGGAAAGAUUUAUCGCUGUGAGAUAGGCAUGCGUCCUAUUAGGUAGUUGGUGAGGUAACGGCUCACCAAGCCGACGAUAGGUAGGGGUGCUGAGAGGCAGAUCCCCCACAUUGGGACUGAGACACGGCCCAAACUCCUACGGGAGGCAGCAGUGAGGAAUAGUGGUCAAUGGAGGAAACUCUGAACCAGCCAAGUCGCGUGAAGGAAGAAUGUCCUAAGGAUUGUAAACUUCUUUAGCGAGCGAGUAAGGACUUCCACGUGAUGGGAGUUUGAAAGUAGCUCGAGAAUAAGUAUCGGCUAACUCCGUG